UCUUUUUAAUUUGGCGCAUAGAGAUCAUCCUUAUUCUUUUUCAAGGCUGCACUGUAUUUCAUUGUGUGCCGCUGAUGGCCAUUUGGGUUGUUUCCAGUCUUACGUCAUUGCAAAUAACGCUGCCAUAUAAAACCUAGUGCGGGGCUUCUCAAACUGUAAUGCACGUGCAAACGGUCUGAGGGUGUUGUUGAAAUGCAGCUUCCACUAUUUACAAUAGCCAGGACAUGGAAGCAACCUAAGUGUCCAUCGGCAGAUGAAUGGAUAAAGAAGAUGUGGCACAUUUAUACAAUGGAAUAUUAGCCAUAAAAAGAAACAAAAUUGAGUUAUUUGUAGAUAAUGAUUGUAAGAGACUGUCAUACAGAGCAAAGUAAGUCAGAAAGAGAAAAACAAAUACCGUAGGCUAACACCUAUAUAUGGAAUCUAAAAAAAAAAUGGUUCUGAAGAACCUAGGGGCAGGACGGGAACAAAGACGCAGACCUACUAGAGAACGGACUUGAGGACACGGGGAGGGGGAAGGGUAAGCUGUGACAAAGCGAGAGAGUGGCAUGGACAUAUAUACGCUACCAAACCUAAAAUAGAUAGCUAGUGGGAAGCAGCCGCAUAGCACAGGGAGAUCAGCUCGGUGCUUUGUGACCACCUAGAGGGGUGGGAUGGGGAGGGUGGGAGGGAGAUGCAAGAGGGAGGAAAUAUGGGGACAUAUGUAUAUGUAUAACUGAUUCACUUUGUUAUACAGCAGCAACUAACACAACAGUGUAAAGCAAUUAUACUCCAAUAAAGAUGUUAAAAGAAAAUGCAGCUUCCAGUUCACUAGAUCCUGAGGUGCUGCAUUUCUAACACGCUCUCUGGUAGCUGAUGCUGCUGGGUCACAGACCACACGUUCAGUAGCAAGAACUUAGUGUGAAUAUUGUUUUGUAUGAUUCCUAGAUUCUUAGGAAUGGGAUUGCUAGAUCAGAAGUUAAAUGCAGAUAUAUUUUUAUUAGUUAUUGUCAAAUUGGAAUUGUUAGGAAUUGUUUCCUCUCACCAGCUAUAUCCGAGUGCUUCUUCACAGACUUACUAACAGUGAUGCCUGGAUAUCUUUGGAUUUUUACCAAUCUGAUAGGUCAGAAAAAUAUUGUCUCAGGUAGUUUAAUUAGCAUUUCCCUUACUGUGAGUGAGGUUGAACAUCAUAUGCUUUUCAUAUGUUUAAAAGCCAUUGCCUCUUUCUGAUUUAUUUUUUACCCUGUGACCUGCUCAUGACUUCUGUUCGUUUUUAAACAUUGUUUGGUCUUUUUCUUCUUGGUUCUUAAGUGCUCUUUAUAUAUUAGCAUAAUUAGUCUUUGUGAUAUGUCACACAUAUUUUCUCCCAGCUUCUCAUCUGUCUUCUGACAUUGCUUCUGGUGAUUUUAGCAUAUAUCUUUUUUAUGUAGUCAAAUUUAAUGAUUUUUCCUUUAUGGCCUAUAGAUUUUUGCAUCAUAAUUAAAAGUCUUUCUCCAGAUUAUAGAGUUCACCAGUGUUUUCUUGCAGUAUUUGUAUGGUUUUUUCUGUUUUUCUGUUUUUCUUUUUAAGGCUUUUUUUUUUUUUUGGAUGUUGCGGGUAGGAGUUUAUUAAUUAAUUUAUUUAUUUUUGCUGUGUUGGGUCUUCGUUUCCGUGCGAGGGCUUUCUCUAGUUGUGGCAAGCGGGGGCCACUCUUCAUCGCGGUGCGCGGGCCUCUCACUGUCACGGCCUCUCCUGUUGCGGAGCACAGGCUCCAGACGCGCAGGCUCAGUAGUUGUGGCUCACGGGCCUAGUUGCUCCGCGGCAUGUGGGAUCCUCCCAGACCAGGGCUCGAACCCGUGUCCCCUGCAUUAGCAGGCAGAUUCUCAACGACUGCGCCACCAGGGAAGCCCCUGUUUUUCUGGUUUGUUUUGUUUUUUACAUUUAGACUGCUGAUCCAUUUAGAGUUGAUCCUGGUGUUUGGGAAAUGUAGAUCCAACUUUUCCUCUUUCACAUGGCUUUCCGGUUGUUCCAACUCCAUUUGUUACAAAGGCUGUAUUUUCACCGAUGAUUUGACAGGCCACCUUUAUUACACACCAAAUAGCUGUCUGCACGUUUCUGGACCCAUAUCCUGUUUCUGUAUAUGCCUGGCUCUGAACGUUAUAUCCAGCCACAUCUGUCACUCUUUCAACUACAGAGCUUUCCUGAUGCGAGUCGCUACCUGGUGCGGGGCAGUCUCCUCAUCGCUCCUCUCUUUCAGGGUUUUCCUGGCUUUCUCUGCUUCUUUAUUUUCCCAUAUGAACUUGAGAGUCAACUUGUCUAACUCUAAAAAAAAAAAAAAAGUGUUGGUAUAUUUGUUAGAAUCAUACUGAAUUUACCUGUGGUGAAUUAACAUUGCUUCCUGAUUUAGCUGUCCUCUCUGAAGGGGAGCAGAACAUGCCACCCCAAAAUGUGCCCCCCUGGCAUGUGGAUUAUUUUGAGCAGAAGGCAACCAAGACCCAGCAGACUCAGAAAACCUUUACCUCUCCCUUAACUGCCUAAAAGAAUGUAGAUAGGGGGCCUAGCCCAGAAAGAGAGCUGUGACCAGAGAUAACUUUUCACCUGAAAGACUUACCUGCACAGCGGGGCAGACAUCUGCUCUCCUUAUGGUCCAGUGAAUGCCCCCACGCCCCGCCCCGUGAAGCCCCGCCCCACCCCAUUCCUUAGCUCAGGAUGGCAUAUAAGCCUCAACUGCCUGUCUUUGGGUCUUAUAUUUUCAUGGGACUCCCAUAUAUGAAACUAAAUUUGUCUUUCUUCUGUUAAUCUAUCUUAUGUCAAUUCAACUAUUAGACCAGCCAAAGAACCCAGACAAGUAGAAGGGAAACUCUGACGGUCCCCUGCACAGCCGAGAACAGGCUCUGUCUAUUUGCUCAAAUAUAUUUUUUUGUUUUUCAGGACUGUUGAAGGUUUCUUCAUAGAAGAUUGGCACAUUUAUUAUUUAGUUUAUUCCUAGUUAUUUUAUCUUUCCAGUGAUAUUAUAAGUAAGCACGUUUCUUCCAUUAUGUUUUACAACUGGCUUCUGUUUGAAUAGGAGAACAUUGUUUUUAUGUGUUAACUUUAUAACUUGCUGCCUUACUGAAUUUUCUUACUAUUUGGAUGAGUUUUUUUUUUAAUUGAUUCUUUUGAGUCCUUGAGUCCUACAGCUAUAUUAUAUCACCUGCAAAUAGAGAUAGUUGUAUUUCUUCCUCCAAUUUUUAUGUCUCUGACUGUUUUCUCCUGUUUGAUUGCAGUGGCUAAUACCUCUGAUAGAGUAAAUUACUUAACCUACCUACAUUUUAGUAUGUUAAUACCUAGAAAAUAAAAAAAUAAGCACAGGAAGCCAGCAUGACUCCACAAAAGAACAAGCCAUUCCUAACCUCAUUUGCUUUUUCUAAAAAUAGGUUUGGGCUUCCCUGGUGGAGCAGUGGUUGAGAGUCUGCCUGCCGAUGCAGGGGACGCGGGUUCGUGCCCCGCUCCGGGAGGAUCCCACGUGCUGCGGAACGGCUGGGCCCGUGAGCCGUGGCCGCUGAGCCUGCGCGUCCGGAGCCUGUGUUCCGCAGUGGGAGAGACCGCAGCGGUGAGAGGCCCACGUACCGCAAAAAGAUAAAAAAUUAAAAAAAUAAAAAAUAAAUAAAAAUAGGUUUACUUGGCAGGGAGACCUAGGCAGGGGUUCUGUAGACCAGUAUUCUCUACCACCCUGUCUGGAUUCAAAUUAGGUUGGAGAACUGUUUCCAAAUUAUGUAGGCUAAAAAUCCUAGGCUCAGUAUCCUUCUAGAAAGAUUUCUCUUAGCAUAAAGUUGUCGAAUGCAUAUUUAUCACAUUUUCAUAACUUAAUAUCUUAACAGGCUUUUAAUGAAAAACAGAAUCAAACCCAAAAGUAAUCAGAUAUUUAAAAAUAGAUGAUGUGAGCACACAAUUGAAGAACUACUCCGAUCACAGGUCGUGUGUGACAAAGGCCUGGGUGUCAAUUGUCUCUAACCAAGCAUGAAACACCAGCUUGAUGUGGUUUCACUGGAAGUGCUUACGGGACUUCCACCACCCCCCCCCCCCAUUAGCCACUGAUUUACAGAGGGAAGAGGUUGCUGGCAUUCUUUAAACAAGACCCCUGGCAAACUGUCUCCAGAGCCUCACGGCUGAAGAUCUAAAGGUCAUCACUCCACCGUUCCUCAGAGCGCUUCCGUGCUUUUUCUCCGCUCUUCCUGAUUCCUGUUGUUCAGUCAUUAACUCGCCGAUGGAGAGUGUCACACUCUCUCUGGACCACAGGCCACGAGGAGGAUGGAAAGGCAAGGAACUCCUGCGUCUCACCCGCAUCUUCGUUUCCCUCAAGGCUUUUCCGUGUUUGGACCUUCACUCACAGAAUGAGCCAUGGUAAUUGUCUUGGAAGCUGAGUUUGGGGGGGUCAAUGGUGAGGAAAGAGCACCCCAGCCUGUUUGCAGAAGGACGCACACAGUUAUUGCUCAGUAGGACUUGGUGAUUCACUGGUGUCUAAUGUUUACAGAAUUCACCUCAGAUAUAACAAUGAUGUCAACAAAAAUGACUCCAGAGAAUGCCGUUUUCUUUCUGAUCCCAGCUAAUUGGUCCCUGCUGCCAACGCUGACAGAACAUCUGGCCUUCACUCAGCAAUAAAAUGGCAUUUUCUUUCCCCAAAUGUCCCUGGAUGGGGAACUGGUUUGAAGUCCAUUUCAAAGGACUUCAGUACUCACUGUAAGAUAAAAGGAAACAGAGCCUUUCCGGUGUGGAUCAAGCAGUCUGCAUUUACAGUCAGUCAUGUGGAAACAGAGAUGAACGAAAUCUUGAUCAUGGUUUCUAAACACAGCUCAUUUUAUUUAUGAAUUUGGGAUUGUUACAGAGAAGCUGACCUUCUCAUCUGGUCGGGAAUCACCUGGGCGAUCCAUUUCACAAUGCAGCGCAGAGCGAGAUGAACCAGAACCUGCUCUCUGGGAUAGGGUCUGCGAGGGUGCAGCUGACCCUGGCAGCCUUGCCCUGAGGCCCCAGGUCACCGCUGAAGGGAGCUGGAUGAAUCUGCAUGAGGAACUCAAGAACUGCCUCCUCAGAUGCCAAAUUAGCAGACCUAGUGGCUUGACCAGAGCAGUCCUGAUGGGGCCCUGUGGCGACGAAGCUGCUCAAACUAAACAAGCAAACAAAAAAGAAACUGUGGCGAGCAGGGCUCAGCUGUCACGAGGCCACUUUCAGCCAGUCUGUGCUGCCUGGGGAGCACCAAGACCCCCCAGCUGCUGUCCCCAUGGCACGGGGGCUGGAAUGGGACCUGCUUUACAGAGCAGUGGCCUUGGAGAUCCAGGAGGGUGCCUUCUCGGCCAGGCUUAGUGCUCGGGGAGUGGGAUGCCCUUGAAGACUCACUGGGUUUCCCACAAAGGGCAGGGGGUUUGAUUGUAAAACGCAGGCUUGGGUACGUUGACCUGAAGCAAAUAGAUGGCCAGGUUUUCUCCAGCAAAGAUGCGUUUAUUCAGGAUCAGCAGAGAAUUGCAAUUCGGGGGCUCAACCACGGCAGCCACGUGCAAGUGCCCACGCGGCAGAGGAAGGAGACACUUAUAGGCGGGACAAGGGAGGAGGCGGGCUUAGUAAACAGAGCCGCAGCCUUUCAUUGGCUGAGUCCUGGAGGGAAAGAAUGGGAGUCUUUCUUCUGUUGAGCUGAUCUGUCAGUGCAGGGGUAAGAGCGCCCCCUGCUGGUCUCCCGACUCUGUUUAACAGGUUUCCGUUCAUUAAUGUUUUACAGCAGUCACAGGACAAAAGCCAAAAGGGACAUGAGAUAUGCAUUUUCAUUAUUCCUGCGUGGGGAGGGUGGUCAGAACAUUGUCCUUUUUAAACAAAGCAAGUGGUUCCAGCAUAUUCUAGACUCCCAUCCAGCCUGAGGUAGAGAACCUCAGCCCCUCAUCAGGAAGAAGGGCAAGGGUCGAGGGAGAGGCUCCAUCAUCCGCCCCUCUGUCAUUCUGCCGCCUUCCCCUCCCCGACCCCAACUGCCACCAGCACACAGGCUUCCUCUCUCUUCCCAGGGCCAUCCCACCUCCAAGGCAACGUGAGACCUGCACGAGGACCCUGGGGCGCUCUCCUCCUGUGGGCUGUCUGAGCAACACCACGGCCAAGUCCUGGGGUCAUCUACGGCGUUACUCUUGGCGAACUUGAUGUUUGCGCAUCGCCUUUAAUAACUUUAUUACCUGAACCACCCAGCGUUCAUGAAAUGGCAACGGUGACGCACUAGCUGGUGCUGUGACUGUUUAUUCAUUCCACAAACUUUUAUUGAGCACCUACUCUAUAGACCAGGAGUUACACUAGGGUCUGGUGACGUCGUGGUAGGGGACACGGUCCCUGGCCUCAGGAUACCAGAUAGAUAUUGUGAGAUAAUAGAAAAAAUGUUCACUGGAGUCUGCCACCGGUUCCUGGCACAGGGCUCCGGAGCCCUUGUAAUUUCCUAAGUGAUGAGAACACGAGGAGCAUCUCUUGUUCUAAUAUUUGGUCUUUGACCCCCGUUCCUGACACUGAGCUCCUGAAACCCUGGUAAUAUCCUGGGUGAUAGGGGUGUCUUUUGUUCUAAUGAGGUGACUCUGGGCGGGCUCCUGGUUGAGGGCUGCUCACUGGAAAGACCCACCGUGAUUAGAAGCUUGGAAUCUUCAGCCUCACCACCCCACAUUCUCUUGAGAAGGGAGAAGAUCUGAAAAAUGGAAUUAAUAAUGGAUCAUGCCCACGUGAGGAAGCCUCCGUACGUAAAAUCCCACUAGUGUGGGGUUCAGAGAGCUUCCAGGUGGGUGAGCACAGCCACACGGAGGGGGGUGACGCACCCCAACUCCAGGGGGACAGAGGCUCCUGCGCUCAGGACCCUCCCAGACCUCGCCCUGUGCAUCUCUUCAUCUGUCCUUUACUAUAUCCUUUAAUAAACUGGUAAACGUUCGUGUUUCCCUGAAUUCUUUGAGGCACUGCAACAAAUUAACCCACCCUGAGGAGGGGGUCGUGGGAAACUCUGAUUUGUAGCCAAAUCCUACAGAAGGUGUGGGUAACUUGGGGACUUGUGACCGUCAUCUGUGGGACAGGGAGCAGCCUUGGGGGGCUGAGCCCUUAACCUGUGGGAUCUGACGCUGUCUCCAGGUACACAGUGUUAGAAUUGACUUAAAUUGCAGGACACCCAGCUGGUGUCAUGGGAAUUGCUUGGUGUGGUGUGGGAAAACCUCCCACACAUUUGGUGACCAGAAGCGUCAGAAGUGAGGUGCUUUGUACGAGGAAUAAAGAAGAGAAACAUGGGAGGGAAGAACCGGGUUAUUCUCUAUUCGGGAAAAGACCGAACUGAGGUUUUUCCUUAUACGGAUAUGCAAAUAAAUGACAGUUGACGUGGUAUGUGCUGUAAUGACACUAAGCCUGAGGGGCAGGAAAAGGAGAAGUAGCUAGAAGUCUGGCUGGGGAGUUAAGAAGGGGUCCCAGAAUCCAUGACACUCAGCUGAGAUCUGAAGAAUGAGGAUGAGCCCAGGUGACAUCCAGGAGGAGAGAAUUCCAAACUAGGGAUGGGGAAACUCACCAAAGUGCUCAUGGUUGAGGAGACAGAUAACCUACUAUUGCUGGACCACUAAACAUGAGGCAGUUCAGGCUGGACACCUAUGAAGGGCCUCAUCUGUCAGGCCAAUAAAGUCGUGUUUUAUCUUACAGACUGCGGAGAGUCCCUGAAGAAUUCCGAGCUGCGGGGUCACGGAAGCAGAGUUAUGCAUCGGGAAAACGGCUCUGCAGCAACGCAGACAGAUGGGAUGCAGAGGUCGGGAGUAUCUGGGCCGCCAUGCUUCAGGUGAAAGGUGGCAGGUGAUUCCCCUCGAUGACCCCACAAACCAAGUAUCUCAGUUUAAUGUUAACUUUUCAAAAAAAAGAAAAAAGAAAACCUCUCAACAAAGAAAAGGCCAGGACCAGGUAGCCCACUGGUGAAUUCUAACACUGAGGCUUCUCAAAUUCUUCUAAAAAAUUAAAGAGGAGGGAGGACUUCUGAACUCAUACCCUGAUAUCAAAGCAAGACAAAGACAUCACAAGAAAAUAAAACUGCAGGAUAAUAUUCCUUAUGAAUAUUGAUGCAAAAAUCCUCAACAAAAUACUAGCAAAUUGCAUCCAACAAGAUAUUAACAGGAUUAUACAUCAUGACCAAGUGGGAUUUAGUCCAAGAAUGCAAGGGUGGUUCAACGUAAGAAAAUCUAUCACUGUCAUACAUCACAUUAAUAGUAUAAAGAGGAAAAAAACACAUGAUCAUCUUGUGAAAAUGAAAAAAAGAAACCUCGUUUAAAACAUUUAUAGUCAGUUGAUUUUGAUAAGGGUGCCAAGUCCAUUCAAUGCGGUAAAGAAUAUUCUCUUCCAUGGAAGAUGCUGGGACAACUGGAUUCCCACUCACAAGGAUGAAGUUCUACCCUUACUUCACACCACAUACAAAAAUAACUCAGAAUUGAUCAACAACCUAAAUACAAGGCUAGAACUAUACAAUUGUUAGAAGAAAACAUAGGAGUAAAUGUUCAUGACCUUGGGUUUGGCAAUGGGCUCUUAGAUAUGACACCAAAAGCUCAAAGCAAAAACAACAAAAAUAAAUAAAAUAAAUAAAUUGGAUUUCAUCAAAAUUAAACAUUUUUACAUGUCAAAGGACAUUAGCAAGAAAGUAAAAGACAUUGGAAAGCAGGCUUGAAUUAAGGGCCAACCAAGAUGCAUGCAGACACAGGUGUGCUGUAUACGUACUUUGAAUCGCGUUAAUGUGCUUCGAAGGCUACUCCGGCACCCUUACAGGGGGGCAGAGUUCGUUCUAUGGUCGUUGCUGUUGUUUGCUGCUGCCUGCAAAGCUGAACAGAGGAUACAAAGAGGUGCUCAUCUCAGCACGCCUUCAAUUCUCAGCUCCUUGCGAAAUAGACUCCAUUUUUAUACAGUUUGUGGUUUUGAUUUACGGGUUUUUUUUUAAUCUUAUGAAAAAUGAAUAACCUCCUACUUCCCUACACCCGCUUUUAGCCCUAUCAUUGGGGAUACUUCUCUUUAACUCAUUAUCAUAGUUAAAGGUGGGCUCUGGAGCCAGACUGCUUUGCAUCUUAACUAGACUCUUUGGACCUCAGUUUUCUCAUCUGUAAAAUGGAAAUAACAGUAGGAACUGCAUUAUGGUGCUGUUGGGAUUAAGUCAGAUAAUCCACGUAAAGAACCUUCCAUACUGAUAGAACACAGUAAGUGCUCUGUAAGUGCUAAUGGGCAUUACCCCAUACUAUUCUUAUUUCUAAUAAUUACCCAGAAAUAUUAAGUGCCCUUUUAGCUUGUCCUCAAGUAGCGGGGAGCAGUCAGUUCACAUUCCUUCACCCAAGGUUCAUUACUGAGUCAUAGAUAAAGUAGGAAGAAAAGUCAUAGAACAGAAUUUUGGCUUAAUUAUAUUUGCAAUUCCAGUGGUACAAUCUUGAAAGUACCCUUUACUUCUAAUUUUUAAGCAAACUUUCACCCAUCAUACAUCACUGUGUACCAUGAGAGCCUAAUACCUCUAAUCAUACGGUUGCCAAAAUGCUCUGACUGGCUUGGGGUGAAGAGAGGGAGCUCAAGCUUUGCUUGGGUCCAAGUAUUACAUGCAAAAGUAAUUUUGAAAAGCAUGUUAAAGU